AUCCGGCUGAAGAGUCUCAAAUAGAACGAAACGCGCGUCAAACUGGAU
rfam:Schistosoma margrebowiei strain Zambia genome assembly, scaffold: SMRZ_contig0000928